rnacentral:lncRNA from 1 species
UCACUCACCCACACACGGCAAUUACCGCAGGUCCCGCCCAUGGCCCCGCCACUUCCGCUGGCCGCAGGCUCCACCGCCUCCUGGAUCAAGCUCAGAACGCAUCGCCCGCAUCACCGACGCUGCCGCCCAAGGGACGGACCCGCUCUGUGACGCGCUUCCGCUUCCGGUCUGCAGAACGCCGCCCUGGGACACGGUGCCGCCCUCGCUGUGUGAUGCCAGCGCCCGCGUGAGGCACUGCACACCAGACUUCCGGUUGGCUUCAGCUCGCCAGCACUGCAGACUUCCGGUCUGCCAUCGGGGAUCGCGGGGAAAUAGAGUCGGGAAUUUCGCUUUCAAGUUCCAGUGCGCCCUACUUCCGCUUGGCUUCAGGUCGCCAGCACUAGCGAGUUCCCGUCCCAUUCUGGCUUCCCCUACAGAGACGGGAAUGGGGCUUCUGAGACUCACGAUUCCCAACUUCCGGUUGGCUUCGGCUUGCCAGCACUAACGACUUCCGGAGUCCUGGUAAUGGAUGGGAACGGCGCGCGGCUGGCUUCCAGCGACCGGAAUUUCACUGGAAUCUCAGGACGCCCGACUUCCGCUUGGCUUCAGGUCGCCAGCGCAACCCGGUUCCCGUCAAGUCUGGCUCGGUGCAAAAGCAGCUCCCGGUUUCCAGUGACUGCUGCUCAGUCCCAGCAUUCCAGUCUUCCGGUCGGCUUCAGCACGCCCAUACUACCGACUUCCGGUUACGGACAAGCGGCUCCGCGCAUGCAAGAAGAACGACCGCUUUUGACGGGAACUCGGCUUGUGAGUCCUGGGAUUCCCGACUUCCCUUUGGCUUCGGAUGCCAGCACUAUCGACUUCCGGUCCGAUCUCAGAGACCGCCGAACCAGCAGCGCUACGGCCACAGGUCUUCCAGUUCCGGAAAGGCUCCGCGAGCACCGCCGCGAAUCCCGCGUGAGAAACGCACGGCUCCCCGCUUCUGGUGCGUUACCAAAUCCUUCUGGGAGGGGAGGGGGGGCGGCACUGGGGUCGGAAACCUCGGUUCCGCUUCCACCGCGACUCAUUUACCGCUCCUGAGACUCACACUUCCAGCCUGUGCCCUGAGCUUCCCGUCCGUCCCCGCAACAGCGCUGCGCAGCAACAAGGUUCCACUCCCGACCGGCACCCGGAAACGGUCUGUGCAGAGAUGGGG